AGAGUUUGAUCAUGGCUCAGAUUGAACGCUGGCGGCAGGCCUAACACAUGCAAGUCGAACGGUAACAGGAAACAGCUUGCUGUUUCGCUGACGAGUGGCGGACGGGUGAGUAAUGUCUGGGAAACUGCCUGAUGGAGGGGGAUAACUACUGGAAACGGUAGCUAAUACCGCAUAACGUCGCAAGACCAAAGAGGGGGACCCUCGGGCCUCUUGCCAUCGGAUGUGCCCAGAUGGGAUUAGCUUGUUGGUGGGGUAACGGCUCACCAAGGCGACGAUCCCUAGCUGGUCUGAGAGGAUGACCAGCCACACUGGAACUGAGACACGGUCCAGACUCCUACGGGAGGCAGCAGUGGGGAAUAUUGCACAAUGGGCGCAAGCCUGAUGCAGCCAUGCCGCGUGUAUGAAGAAGGCCUUCGGGUUGUAAAGUACUUUCAGCGGGGAGGAAGGGAGUAAAGUUAAUACCUUUGCUCAUUGACGUUACCCGCAAAAGAAGCACCGGCUAACUCCGUGCCAGCAGCCGCGGUAAUACGGAGGGUGCAAGCGUUAAUCGGAAUUACUGGGCGUAAAGCGCACGCAGGCGGUUUGUUAAGUCAGAUGUGAAAUCCCCGGGCUCAACCUGGGAACUGCAUCUGAUACUGGCAAGCUUGAGUCUCGUAGAGGGGGGUAGAAUUCCAGGUGUAGCGGUGAAAUGCGUAGAGAUCUGGAGGAAUACCGGUGGCGAAGGCGGCCCCCUGGACGAAGACUGACGCUCAGGUGCGAAAGCGUGGGGAGCAAACAGGAUUAGAUACCCUGUAGUCCACGCCGUAAACGAUGUCGACUUGGAGGUUGUGCCCUUGAGGCGUGGCUUCCGGAGCUAACGCGUUAAGUCGACCGCCUGGGGAGUACGGCCGCAAGGUUAAGACUCAAAUGAAUUGACGGGGGCCCGCACAAGCGGUGGAGCAUGUGGUUUAAUUCGAUGCAACGCGAAGAACCUUACCUGGUCUUGACAUCCACGGAAGUUUUCAGAGAUGAGAAUGUGCCUUCGGGAACCGUGAGACAGGUGCUGCAUGGCUGUCGUCAGCUCGUGUUGUGAAAUGUUGGGUUAAGUCCCGCAACGAGCGCAACCCUUAUCCUUUGUUGCCAGCGGUCCGGCCGGGAACUCAAAGGAGACUGCCAGUGAUAAACUGGAGGAAGGUGGGGAUGACGUCAAGUCAUCAUGGCCCUUACGACCAGGGCUACACACGUGCUACAAUGGCGCAUACAAAGAGAAGCGACCUCGCGAGAGCAAGCGGACCUCAUAAAGUGCGUCGUAGUCCGGAUUGGAGUCUGCAACUCGACUCCAUGAAGCCGGAAUCGCUAGUAAUCGUGGAUCAGAAUGCCACGGUGAAUACGUUCCCGGGCCUUGUACACACCGCCCGUCACACCAUGGGAGUGGGUUGCAAAAGAAGUAGGUAGCUUAACCUUCGGGAGGGCGCUUACCACUUUGUGAUUCAUGACUGGGGUGAAGUCGUAACAAGGUAACCAUAGGGGAACCUGCGGUUG
rnacentral:rRNA from 1 species